AGCGAACGCUGGCGGCAGGCCUAAUACAUGCAAGUCGAGCGGCCCUUCGGGGCAGCGGCGGACGGGUGAGUAACGCGUGGGAAUGUGCCCUUUGGUACGGAACAACCCAGGGAAACUUGGGCUAAUACCGUAUGUGCCCUACGGGGGAAAGAUUUAUCGCCAUUGGAGCAGCCCGCGUUGGAUUAGCUAGUUGGUAGGGUAAAGGCCUACCAAGGCUACGAUCCAUAGCUGGUCUGAGAGGAUGAUCAGCCACACUGGGACUGAGACACGGCCCAGACUCCUACGGGAGGCAGCAGUAGGGAAUCUUGCGCAAUGGGCGAAAGCCUGACGCAGCCAUGCCGCGUGAAUGAUGAAGGUCUUAGGAUUGUAAAAUUCUUUCACCGGGGAAGAUAAUGACGGUACCCGGAGAAGAAGCCCCGGCUAACUUCGUGCCAGCAGCCGCGGUAACAC
rnacentral:rRNA from 1 species